rnacentral:rRNA from 1 species
ACCUCAUAAUGCAGCGGACCCGCAUGGGUAUGUGUUAAAGGUUUACCGCCUUGGGAUAGGCUUGCGUCUGAUUAGCUAGUUGGUGUGGUAACGGCACACCAAGGCUACGAUCAGUAACUGGUCUGAGAGGAUGAUCAGUCACACUGGAACUGAGACACGGUCCAGACUCCUACGGGAGGCAGCAGUGAGGAAUAUUGGGCAAUGCACGAAAGUGUGACCCAGCAACGCCGCGUGGAGGAUGAAGGUAUUCUAUAUCGUAAACUCCUGUGAGAGCAGACGAAAGACAGAUUAUUAAUUUGGAUGACUGUAUGCUCAGAGGAAGCCCCGGCUAACUACGUG